rnacentral:siRNA from 1 species
GAAGCAGGCUCCGCGAUGUUGGU